CGAAAGCCUGACGGAGCAAGACCGCGUGGGGGAGGAAGGCUCUAGGGUUGUAAACCCCUUUUCUUUGGGAAGAACAAAAUGACGGUACCAAAGGAAUCAGCCUCGGCUAACUCCGUGCCAGCAGCCGCGGUAAUACGGAGGAGGCAAGCGUUAUCCGGAAUUAUUGGGCGUAAAGAGUCCGUAGGUGGUGGGGCAAGUCGGCGGUUAAAGACUGGGGCUUAACUCCAGAAAGGCCGUGGAAACUGCACCACUAGAGGGCAGUAGGGGUAGAGGGAAUUCCCGGUGUAGCGGUGAAAUGCGUAGAUAUCGGGAAGAACACCAGUGGCGAAAGCGCUCUACUGGGCCGCAACUGACACUCAGGGACGAAAGCUAGGGGAGCG
rnacentral:rRNA from 1 species